GGCAAGAUGACCGAGCGGUUAAGGUGGUAGACUCAAGUAAGCGUGGCAAACUGCGCCCUUCGGCCCUCAAACGGCUGUGAAUUCUACUGGGGAAACCCGCCAGGGUUCGAAUCCCUGUCUUGUCA